rnacentral:rRNA from 1 species
CCUUUCUAAGGAAGAUGU